rnacentral:rRNA from 1 species
CCCUUAGACGCUCUAGGCGGCACGCGCGCUACAAUGGGUGGUAGAACGUGUAACUGCUCCCGAAAGGGAGGGUGAACCACGAAUACUUACCCGUGAAUGGGAUAGUUUGUUGCAAUUUUCGGACUUGAACUAGGAAUCCCUUGUAAGAAUGCUCAAGAAUAGCGUGCUGAAUACGUCCCUGCCGCUUGUACACACCGCCCGUCGUUUCUUCCGACUGAUACUCAUUGUGAGUUGCAAGGAUUCUUAUUGAAAAAUUGCUGCGAAUGCUUUGUAUUGGAGGAAGAAAAAGUCGUAACA